CAUGUGGGGCAAGCGUUGUUCGGAAUUACUGGGCAUAAAGGGUGCGUAGGUGGCUUGUUAAGUCAGGGGUGAAAUCCCGCGGCCCAACCGUGGAACUGCCUUUGAUACUGGCGAGCUUGAGUGCGUGAGGGGUAACCGGAACGAGCAGUGUAGCGGUGAAAUGCGUAGAUAUUACUCGGAAGGCCAAAGGCGAAGGCAGGUUACUGGUACGCAACUGACACUGAGGCACGAAAGCGUGGGGAGCAAACAGGAUUAGAUACCCUGGUAGUCCACGCCGUAAACGAUGAGCACUAGAUUGGUGGCACGCUACGUGUUGCCAGUCGCAGAAAAUUUAUUAAGUGCUCCGCCUGGGGAGUAUGGUCGCAAGGCUG
rnacentral:rRNA from 1 species